rnacentral:rRNA from 1 species
GGGACUUUCAAAGCUUAUUUAUUUUUUAAUACAUGCUAGUUAAAAGCUAACAGGUGAGGAAAAAGAGCCCUAAGGGGUUUCCAACAUAUUAGGCAUUUCAGGGAGUAGAACCCCUAAAGCCCAAUAUAUGGAGUCGAAGUGCCACCCCUUUUCUGAAACAAAAAAGGAUGUUUUCAGCAGUAGAGAAUAUUGUGCUAUGGGCGUUAGCCUGACACAGAAAGUAAAUAUAAGGCCUGUCCUAUUAUGUGCCAGCAGACGCGGUUACACCUAAGGGUCAAGUUUUGAAAUUACAUUAGGCAUUAAAUGUUCCAAUCAAGCCUUAAUUAUAGGGUUUAAGAAUUAGUUAAUAGCGAUAAAAUGCGUUAGUUUUAAAGAACACUCACAGUGAAAACAUAAACCUUUUGAGAGUAGAACUAAAGCGAAGGUCGCCAACAGGAUUAGAAACCCUGGUAGUCUUUGCCUUCAACAAAGAUGGUUAUUUGCCUGAACAGUAUAACCGCAAGGUAGAAAUUCAAAGAACCUGGCUGUUCNCCCUUCCACUUAGAGGAGNGUGUCUUUUAAUACGAUACUCCACGAGAAACCUUACUUCACCUAAAUAACGGUAUUGCAUGGCUGUCGUCAGUUUACAUUUAAAAUGUUGAUCUCCUCUCCUUUUAGAUAGAUGUCAGGUAGUAUGAUCCUAAUGGUGAAGGACAGAUGCGCUACAUUUCAGGAAUAAUUAAGUUACCUGAACGGAAUUAUAGUGAAAUCAAAAUCCAAGUCGAAUUUAANAGUAACCAAAAACAAGCAUGUUUUGGUGAACUGGUCAAGGUGUGAGUACAAAUUGCCCGUCNCCUUCACCCCUUUAGGAGGUGAAGCAAGUCGUAACAUAGUGAGCGUAAAGGAAUUUUCGCUCGAUC